rnacentral:rRNA from 1 species
GGGGCGCACCAGGCGCGAAAACUUUACAAUGCGGGAAACCGUGAUAAGGGGACACCGAGUGCCAGCAUCAUAUGCUGGCUGUCCAGGUGUGUAAAAUACACCUGUUAGCAAGGGCCGGGCAAGACCGGUGCCAGCCGCCGCGGUAACACCGGCGGCCCGAGUGGUGAUCGUGAUUAUUGGGUCUAAAGGGUCCGUAGCCGGUUUGGUCAGUCCUCCGGGAAAUCUGAUAGCUCAACUAUUAGGCUUUCGGGGGAUACUGCCAGACUUGGAACCGGGAGAGGUAAGAGGUACUACAGGGGUAGGAGUGAAAUCUUGUAAUCCCUGUGGGACCACCUGUGGCGAAGGCGUCUUACCAGAACGGGUUCGACGGUGAGGGACGAAAGCUGGGGGCACGAACCGGAUUAGAUACCCGGGUAGUCCCAGCCGUAAACGAUGCUCGCUAGGUGUCAGACAUGGCGCGACCGUGUCUGGUGCCGCAGGGAAGCCGUGAAGCGAGCCACCUGGGAAGUACGGCCGCAAGGCUGAAACUUAAAGGAAUUG